CAAUAGCGUAUAUUAAAGUUGUUGCAGUUAAAAAGCUCGUAGUUGAAGCUCUGGCGGGGGGCAAGUUUGGCUUUGGUCAGCUUGUACCCCGUCAUCCGAUUGCAAACUACGUAUGUGAUUUAGUUCACAGCGUAGGGAGCAAUCAAUUUACUUUGAAAAAAUUAGAGUGUUUCAGGCAGGCAAUCGCCCGAAUACAUUAGCAUGGAAUAAUGGAAUAGGACUUUGGUUCAUUUGGUUGGCUAUUGAAUCAGAGUAAUGAUUAAUAGGGAUAGUUGGGGGCAUUAGUAUUUAAUUGUCAGAGGUGAAAUUCUUGGAUUUAUUAAAGACUAACUUAUGCGAAAGCAUUUGCCAAGGAUGUUUUCAUUAA
rnacentral:rRNA from 1 species